UACGUAGGGGGCUAGCGUUGUCCGGAAUCAUUGGGCGUAAAGAGCGUGUAGGCGGUCCGGUAAGUCCGCUGCGAAAGUCGGGGGCUCAACCCUCGAAUGCCGGUGGAUACUGUCGGGCUAGAGUGCGGAAGAGGCGAGUGGAAUUCCUGGUGUAGCGGUGAAAUGCGCAGAUAUCAGGAGGAACACCUAUUGCGAAGGCAGCUCGCUGGGACGUAACUGACGCUGAGACGCGAAAGCGUGGGGAGCAAACAGG
rnacentral:rRNA from 1 species